AAAUCAUGUUGAGGGCAACUUCUAAGCAAUCCUUUGUACUCCUCCCAUGCUUCAUAUAGAGACUCUCCAACCUCUUGUUGAAAAUUAGCUAUCUUCUUUUUGAGCUC